UAGGGAAUAUUGGACAAUGGGCGAAAGCCUGAUCCAGCAAUGCCGCGUGAGUGAUGAAGGUGUAAUGCAUUGUAAAGCUCUUUUAUUGGGGAAGAUAAUGACGGUACCCAAAGAAUAAGCACCGACUAACUAUGUGCCAGCAGUCGCGGUAAUACAUAGGGUGCAAGCGCUGCUCGGAAUUACUGGGCGUAAAGAACAUGUAGGAGGACCUUUAAGUCAUUAGUGCAAUCCCAAGGCUUAACCUUGGAACUGCUGAUGAUACUAUUGGUCUUGAGUAAGAUAGAGGACAGUAGAAUUCUUAGUGUAGGGGUUAAAUCCAUAGAUAUUAAGAGGAAUACCAAAAGCGAAAG
rnacentral:rRNA from 1 species